UCUAAUUUUUGUUUAAUUUAAAUUUUAUAUUGUAUUCUUACCGUACUGUAUUCUUUUUCAAUUAUCAUUAUGUAUCUACACUUUCUUGUUAGUUGUUUCUGCCUAUUUAUCAUUUUAAAGAACGAAUCAUAAAAAAUAAAAAAUUAUAUAAAGCAUGUUAUUACUGUCUAGGCAAAUAUAUGAAGCGAAAUAUUUGAGUAUGAUGGGAACGUGGUCCUCUGUUAGUAGUUGUUUUAGACAAAGUUUUAAACUGUUCUGUUUUAGACUUUAAGUUAGGAUCUUGUGAUUGAUUAGAAAAACAAGAUGCAAGAAGAAGAUAAUUGAUUGGGUAAGUUAGUAGUUUAGUACUGUAUUUUUAUAUUUGUUUAUUAUGUAUUAAUUAUAAUAUUCAUAUAUCAUAUUCUCUUGGAUGCAACUAAGCAGGUCUUGAUGAAGGCAUGAAGCAUGUUAAUGACUUUUGCAGAUUGGUAGUAUGAAGAGUGAAGACUAUGAACUAUGAACUUUAUUUAAUUUGUUUUGUGUGAGAACUAUGAACUAUGCAGAUUGGCCCUUGGCAGUGUGAAGUGUGAACUUCACUGUGAAGUGUAAAUGAGGCUAAGUAAUUCAUGUUGGCUACUGCUUAAGUAAUUCAUAUUGGCUACUGUUCGUUUUUUGGUUGCCGCUAUAACCGACCGAGCUGCUGCUGUGCUUGCUACAGAAGGUGGUCUGGUGGUGAAGAAUUUUAUUGCUACUUUAGAUCCUGUAAGAGGUGAACGGCAUGGGCCUUUGAUAUAUAAUGUUGUUAGGAACCGGAUUGAGACGGAGUUCCCGGUGGUGGGACUGGAUUGAUGAGUCAAGAGACAGAGGCUUGUGAUUCCGAAGUUGGAAGUGAGAUGAUAAGCAGGGGUUUGAGCUCACCACUGAUCUUGCAUGACUUGAGUAAAAUUAGUUCAAAUGCAAAAGACUUUUGGCAAAAUAGCUAGCCAACAGAUACAUUCCUAUGGCUAUUUGUUAUAAUUAAUUUCUUUGUCUUUAGUCUUUAUAAAGUUGUAUGAAACAUUUUUUUUGGUAUUAAUGAUGAAGUCUUUUAAUA